rnacentral:tmRNA from 2 species
GGGGAUGCAAAGGUUUCGACGGGAUUGCGAGGUUAUAGGUAGCAGGCCAGGCUGACCGCUGUGAGAGGUCAACUCAUCGUUUAGAUGGAAACAGAAAUUACGCUUUAGCUGCUUAAUUAGUCAGCUCACUUCUGAUUGCUCUCUUCUGUAGGAGCAUUCAACCGAAGUGUCACUUAUUUACAGAUUACCUCCAGUGAUUUCUCUAAGCUGUAGGGACAUUUCAGAGGAUAGCUUUAAUCAGCCCUGUCUGUGGGAGUGAUUAUUGCGAAACAAAAUAGCAGACUAAGCUUGUAGAAGCUUAUGGCGCUUGUAGUUUCGGACACGGGUUCGAUUCCCGUCAUCUCCACCA